AUGUUUGCCCCCAAAGCAUGUACACUACAAAAUUUGAACCAAACAGAGAAGACUAAGCAUGGUCUCUAUGCAAAGAUAACAGGCACAUUCAUGGAGCACUCUUUUU
ensembl:snRNA U6 U6 spliceosomal RNA